CAGGUGAAUCAUUGCACCGAUGUCGGCGGUGAGGGCGUCGUACAACCCGAGUUAGCACGCUACCAGGCGAAUUAUUGCAUUGGUAUCGGAGGUAUGGCCGAGAUCAGAGACUUAUCAUAGUCGACUAGACUCUGCUGGGCUAAUUUGCCGUGGAGAGCUGAGAGUCCGUAGGUGACAGGAGCCAUGCGCGUUAAUUGUGGAGUAAGCCGGAGAUCCGCAUUUAUUGUGGAGUAAGCCGGAGAUCCGCAUUUAUUGUGGA
rnacentral:lncRNA from 1 species